rnacentral:rRNA from 1 species
AACGAACGCUGGCGGCAGGCUUAACACAUGCAAGUCGAGCGCCCCGCAAGGGGAGCGGCAGACGGGUGAGUAACGCGUGGGAAUCUACCCACCUCUACGGAAUAACGCAUGGAAACGUGUGCUAAUACCGUAUACGUCCUUCGGGAGAAAGGUUUAUCGGAGAUGGAUGAGCCCGCGUUGGAUUAGCUAGUUGGUGGGGUAAAGGCCUACCAAGGCGACGAUCCAUAGCUGGUCUGAGAGGAUGAUCAGCCACACUGGGACUGAGACACGGCCCAGACUCCUACGGGAGGCAGCAGUGGGGAAUAUUGGACAAUGGGCGCAAGCUUGAUCCAGCCAUGCCGCGUGAGUGAUGAAGGCCCUAGGGUUGUAAAGCUCUUUCACCGGUGAAGAUAAUGACGGUAACCGGAGAAGAAGCCCCGGCUAACUUCGUGCCAGCCGCCGCAGUAAGAC